GUCAACUAUGGAUUUGACGGAAGCUUACGAGAAAAACAUGUAAAUUAAAAAUGGCAAAUGUUGGGUUUGAGAAUUUAAAGAAUUAAAAAGUUAUUUUCUAGCAGUUAUUCACGAAAAAACCUACGCAAAUUACAUAUUUAUAAAGAUAUUUGAGCUUUAUCUAACAGGGAGUAAAAAAGAACAGCCACACACACAGCAUACCCACCC
rnacentral:lncRNA from 1 species